UACGAAGGGGGCUAGCGUUGCUCGGAAUUACUGGGCGUAAAGCGCACGUAGGCGGCUCUUUAAGUCGGGGGUGAAAUCCUGGAGCUCAACUCCAGAACUGCCUUCGAUACUGAAGAGCUCGAGUCCGGGAGAGGUGAGUGGAACUGCGAGUGUAAAGGUGAAAUUCGUAGAUAUUCGCAAGAACACCAGUGGCGAAGGCGGCUCACUGGCCCGGUACUGACGCUGAGGUGCGAAAGCGUGGGGAGCAAACAGG
rnacentral:rRNA from 1 species